UACAAAACCUACUUAGCAAGGGAUCGUC
rnacentral:sRNA from 1 species